UAGGGAAUCUUCCGCAAUGGACGAAAGUCUGACGGAGCAACGCCGCGUGAGUGAAGAAGGCUUUCGGUUCGUAAAACUCUGUUGUUAGGGGAGAAAAAAUGUAUAGUAACUAUAUACAAAAGAGACGGUACCUAACCAGAAAGCCACGGCUAACUACGUGCCAGCAGCCGCGGUAAUACGUAGGUGGCAAGCGUUGUCCGGAAUUAUUGGGCGUAAAGCGAGCGCAGGCGGUUAGAAAAGUCUGAAGUGAAAGGCAGUGGCUAAACCAUUGUAGGCUUUGGAAACUGUUUAACUUGAGUGCAGAAGGGGAGAGUGGAAUUCCAUGUGUAGCGGUGAAAUGCGUAGAUAUAUGGAGGAACACCGGUGGCGAAAGCGGCUCUCUGGUCUGUAACUGACGCUGAGGCUCGAAAGCGUGGGGAGCGAACAGG
rnacentral:rRNA from 1 species